CUUGACGAUCAUAGCGUUUUGGACCCACCUGAACCCAUUCCGAACUCAGAAGUGAAACGAAAUAGCGUCGAUGGUAGUGUGGGGUUUCCCCAUGUGAGAGUAGAACAUCGCCAGGC
rnacentral:rRNA from 1 species